UGCACCCUAAUUCAGUAUUGUUGGUUUGAUUUGAUGACCAGUGUUAAAAUUUAAUAUGGAGAAAAUUAUACUAUUUACAAAAAGUCAUUGGAAAAAAUUGAGUAUCGCAUCAAUUCCAGUUGUGUAUGGAAUUAUCUACAUUAAAAAUGAAUAUCAAAUUUCUAGGCACAUGAGAUAUGUUUGCAAUGAGGUUAACAAGCAUUCCAUUCCAAAGCCUACUAAUGUUCUUGUAGUUUUGAAUCCUGUUGCUAAUAAGAAGAGUUGCGAAAAAAUGGUGUGCUGCUACACGUUCAAUAUACAGUGGCUCCAACGAAUAAUCGGACAAGAUUUUGUCUGAUGUAAAUGUGCUCUAAACAUCAAAAUAAUGCACAAAAAAAAUAUUUUUUUUCGCUGAUAUUUACACUCCACAUACCAAUAUACAGUGAAUGUCACUUAAAAUCGUACACCAUCGUAGUAAAAUUUUAUUCAUUAGUUUUAGAAAGUUGAUGUUUUGGAAAUAUUUUAAAAUACUAUUUUUAUAUUGUGUGUGCUAUUACAUAUCAGAAAAUAUGGUAUAAUUUUAAUUGCCCUUGUAUGGCAUCAAUCCAAGUUUUCCAAAAUUGUUAUAAAAAUAAAACAAAGUUCAAGUUUAAAUUAGAGACGAAGAUCUCUUUUUAUUGUAAAUAAAUAUUACCUCGUAGAAGGAA